UCUCUUCGGUUGAUGGUAUUCUUGGAGAGUGGAUGUCAUAGACACCAGGGCCAAUUCCAGCACCAUACUUCACUCCCUCCCUGAAAACUGAGAGGAGCUUCUCAUCGGAACGUGAGUUCUCAAUUGUGAUCACAUCAGCAUCCAUGUCGAUGAUGGAGUGGAUAAUGUCAUUGAAGUUGGAGUAGCACAUGUGAGUGUGGAUCUGGGUAGUGUCCUGGAUAUCGACAUUGGUGAUUCUGAAGGAGUGAACGGCCCA
rnacentral:lncRNA from 1 species